rnacentral:rRNA from 1 species
AGAUUGAACGCUGGCGGCAUGCCUUACACAUGCAAGUCGAACGCGAAAGGGGGGCAACUCCUGAGUAGAGUGGCGAACGGGUGAGUAAUACAUCGGAAUGUAUCCUGUAGUGGGGGAUAACCCCGAGAAAUCGGGGCUAAUACCGCAUACGACCUACGGGAGAAAGCGGGGGACCGCAAGGCCUCGCGCUAUAGGAGCAGCCGAUGUCGGAUUAGCUAGUUGGUAGGGUAAAAGCCUACCAAGGCGACGAUCCGUAGCUGGUCUGAGAGGAUGAUCAGCCACACUGGGACUGAGACACGGCCCAGACUCCUACGGGAGGCAGCAGUGGGGAAUUUUGGACAAUGGGCGCAAGCCUGAUCCAGCCAUGCCGCGUGAGUGAAGAAGGCCUUCGGGUUGUAAAGCUCUUUCGGCCGGGACGAAAUCGCCUUCGUGAAUAUCGAAGGUGGAUGACGGUACCGGAAUAAGAAGCACCGGCUAACUACGUGCCAGCAGCCGCGGUAAUACGUAGGGUGCGAGCGUUAAUCGGAAUUACUGGGCGUAAAGCGUGCGCAGGUGGUUUUGUAAGCCAGAUGUGAAAUCCCCGGGCUUAACCUGGGAACUGCAUUUGGGACUGCAAGGCUAGAGUACGGCAGAGGGAGGUGGAAUUCCACGUGUAGCAGUGAAAUGCGUAGAUAUGUGGAGGAACACCGAUGGCGAAGGCAGCCUCCUGGGCUUGUACUGACGCUCAUGCACGAAAGCGUGGGGAGCAAACAGGAUUAGAUACCCUGGUAGUCCACGCCCUAAACGAUGACAACUAGUUGUUGGGGAUUUAACAUCCUUAGUAACGCAGCUAACGCGUGAAGUGUCCG